GAUGAUCAGCCACACUGGGACUGAGACACGGCCCAGACUCCUACCGGGAGGCAGCAGUGGGGAAUAUUGCACAAUGGGCGAAAGCCUGAUGCAGCCAUGCCGCGUGAAUGAUGAAGGCCUUAGGGUUGUAAAAUUCUUUCGCUAGGGAUGAUAAUGACAGUACCUAGUAAAGAAGCCCCGGCUAACUUCGUGCCAGCAGCCGCGGUAAUACGAAGGGGGCUAGCGUUGUUCGGAAUUACUGGGCGUAAAGCGCACGUAGGCGGGUUAUUAAGUCAGAUGUGAAAUCCCAAGGCUCAACCUUGGAACUGCAUUUGAAACUGAUAGCCUAGAGAUCAGGAGAGGUUAGCGGAAUACCGAGUGUAGAGGUGAAAUUCGUAGAUAUUCGGUGGAACACCAGUGGCGAAGGCGGCUAACUGGACUGAUACUGACGCUGAGGUGCGAAAGUGUGGGGAGCAAACAGGAUUAGAUACCCUGGUAGUCCACACCGUAAACGAUGAGAGCUAGUUGUCUGCAGGCAUGCCUGUAGGUGACGCAGCUAACGCAUUAAGCUCUCCGCCUGGGGAGUACGGCCGCAAGGUUAAAACUCAAAGAAAUUGACGGGGGCCCGCACAAGCGGUGGAGCAUGUGGUUUAAUUCGAAGCAACGCGCAGAACCUUACCUACCCUUGACAUGCCCGGCUAUAUCCAGAGAUGGAUAGUUCCUUCGGGACCGGUGCACAGG
rnacentral:rRNA from 1 species